UACGAAGGGGGCGAGCGUUGUUCGGAAUUACUGGGCGUAAAGGGCGCGUAGGCGGCCGAUCAAGUUAGAUGUGAAAGUCCUGGGCUUAACCUGGGGACUGCAUUUGAUACUGGAUGGCUUGAAUCCGGGAGAGGGAUGCGGAAUUCCAGGUGUAGCGGUGAAAUGCGUAGAUAUCUGGAGGAACACCGGUGGCGAAGGCGGCAUCCUGGACCGGCAUUGACGCUGAUGAGCGAAAGCCAGGGGAGCAAACGGG
rnacentral:rRNA from 1 species